rnacentral:rRNA from 1 species
UACGUAGGGCGCAAGCGUUGUCCGGAAUUAUUGGGCGUAAAGAGCUCGUAGGUGGUUUGUUACGUCUGCUGUGAAAACCUAGGGCUUAACCCUGGGCCUGCAGUGGAUACGGGCAGACUAGAGGUAGGUAGGGGAGAAUGGAAUUCCCGGUGUAGUGGUGAAAUGCGUAGAUAUCAGGAGGAACACCGGUGGCGAAGGCGGUUCUCUGGGCAUGUUCUGACGCUGAGGAGCGAAAGUGUGGGGAGCGAACAGG